UACGAAGGUGGCAAGCGUUGUUCGGAUUUACUGGGCGUACAGGGAGCGUAGGCGGUUGGAUAAGCCCUCCGUGAAAUCUCCAGGCUUAACCUGGAAAGUGCAGAGGGGACUGUUCAGCUAGAGGAUGGGAGAGGAGCGCGGAAUUCCCGGUGUAGCGGUGAAAUGCGUAGAGAUCGGGAGGAACACCAGAGGCGAAGGCGGCGACCUGGACAGUUACUGACACUCAACUACGAAAGCGUGGGGAGCAAACAGG
rnacentral:rRNA from 1 species